rnacentral:rRNA from 1 species
UGUAAAAUUUUAAAGGUCGAACAGACCCAAUAUUUUAGCUCCUACACCAAAAAUUUAUUUUAAUCCAACAUCGAGGUCGCAAUCUUUUUUUUAAAUAUGAACUUUCUAAAAAAAUUACGCUGUUAUCCCUAAGGUAAUUUUAUCUUAUAAUCAAAAUUAUUGGAUCAAUUAUUCAUAAAUUAAUGAUAAAAAAUAAAAAAAGUUAAUUAAAUUUUUCAAUCGCCCCAACUAAAUUAUAUUAAUCAAAUAAUAAAUAAAUACUUAAACAAUAUUUAAACAAAAUAAUUAAACUCUAUAGGGUCUUCUCGUCUUUUAAUAAUAUUUAAGCUUUUUAACUUAAAAAUAAAAUUCUACUUAAAUUUGAUAGAGACAGUUACUUUCUUAUUCAACCCUUCAUUCCAGUUCUUAAUUAAAAAACUAAUGAUUAUGCUACCUUAGCACGGUCAAAAUACCACGGCCAUUUAAAAUCUCAGUGGGCAGGUCAGACCUUAAAUUAUAAACAAAAGGAC